AUGAGUUUGAUCAGCUGGGAAGAGUCUAGAAAGCCCGAAAUCAGCAACUUUGACACUGAAGUUGCUGUCAAGGAGAAUGUUGUUAGUUUUGACAUCGCGGUGUAUGAUGUCUGAAGCAUGGAGGUGAUCAGCUACGGUUCCAUUUUCCACGUACUCGUAUACAAGGAGGAGUUCCCUGCUGUGAUGGGAAGUGCAGCCGUGGAGUAACACAAGGCUAUUGUGUCUUAGACGACUUCCCUACAGGUAAAACAAUUCAUUUAUUAGUGUAAGGGCUACUCGGGCUCAUUUUACAGACAGACCGAAUAAGUUUUAAAUAACUUCCAAAGCCACCACUGCCAAGUUCAUUGGAUUGAUCAAAAUCUGCAGUGGCCUCAACAAGUUGAGUAUAGGAGAAGAGUGGCACGCCAAAGAAUUUGCUUCCGAAUUCGAGGUCUGAUGCAUCACUGUCAAGAGAGGCACUCCGAGUUCUGAACUUCAUAUGAUCAGACAUCUUCUUAUUCCGAUGCCAAAUGGCUAUGCAUAUUACUACAAGAACAAGUAAACUUCCUCCCAUGCCUGAUCAUUGGUUAAAUUAAUAUCAAGAUACAGAGUACAGCUUAAGAAUAUAUGGAAUUGGCUAAUUCAGUCAUUUAGGGAACGUUUAAUUUACCUAUGAUAAUUUGAUUCGUUUUCGUUUGAUGAUUAGCUGUACCAAUUUCCUUCUUCUCUGCAAAUAAGUAAAUGUAAUGUCAAUAUGGCAACAUAGAUCGAGCUAUGUAUUACGGAGUAGUAAUGAAUAUGAACUUGUUAAGAAAACGCGCUAGGUAAGUGCUGGUAUAACCUCAUAUCAGUCAUUAAUAACCUGGCUGGGUUACUACAGAUGCAUGCUAAAAACAGGCAAUUAGGCAAACAUAUAAUGUAUUGAUUUCUGCUGCUUGAGUUGCAGCAAUUACACAACUUAAGUACAUAACAGUGAUAUUCUUGUUGCUGUCA